rnacentral:tRNA from 1 species
GCGGAGAUAGCUCAGUUAGCAGAGCGCAGUGAUACCAUCAUUGAGGUCGUUGGUGCGAUUCCAUCUCUCCGCUCA